rnacentral:lncRNA from 1 species
UUGGAUCAGGUAGUGAUUCAUAUAGGAGUACUGAGCUUGAAAGAAUCAUGAGAACUGGCCCAACAUGCCAAAGAAAUAGAAGCCAAUAGCAUUGCUGUCCCUGCCCCUUUCUUUUCAAACCAUGAAACAAAGAUGCUCUGAUUAAUUUUCUAAUAGAGGCAGCUGCUGCUACCCCUGCAUUUUAUUACUAUCACAUUCCUGCCUUGACAGGGGUGAAGAUUUGUGCUGAGAAGCUGUUUGAUGAGAUUCAGCAUAAGAGCCCCACUUUCUAAAGGCUGAAAUUCAGUGACACAGAUCUUAGACUUCAGGCAAUGUGUUGAUCAGAAUCGCCAGCAAUAGUUGACCUUCCUUUUGAGGGUGGAUGAGCAACUGUUGAGUGCUCUGGUGAUGGGAGCAACUGGAGCAGUGGGCAGAUUUAUAUCGACAGAUUUAUAAACUUUUUAGUCAAACUAGGUUUUCUAGUGUCACAGAUCAAAGCCAUCAUGACUCUGGUCCCUGCAGUGGAAGUGGGCCCACCCCAUCUUCCGCUG